rnacentral:lncRNA from 1 species
CACGCGGGAAUACGCAAGGUGGAUGCGCGCGUGUCAGACAGGCGCUUCAGUUUAAAGCGGUACGGUUGCUGCAGGGUGUUGUCGCGUGUCGUUCAGCUGAAGUGAUGUCGUCAUACAGUGAAGGAAGUACAGGCAGGAGGACAUCUCGGAGAAUCAGGAGUCGCAGAUGGAAACCAGAGUCUGAAACAGACAAUGCGCUGUGAGC